UGGGGAAUAUUGCACAAUGGGCGAAAGCCUGAUGCAGCAACGCCGCGUGAGUGAUGAAGGCCUUCGGGUUGUAAAGCUCUGUCUUUUGGGACGAUAAUGACGGUACCAAAGGAGGAAGCCACGGCUAACUACGUGCCAGCAGCCGCGGUAAUACGUAGGUGGCAAGCGUUGUCCGGAUUUACUGGGCGUAAAGGAUGCGUAGGCGGAUUUUUAAGUGAGAUGUGAAAACCCUAAGCUUAACUUGGGGACUGCAUUUCAUACUGGAAAUCUAGAGUGCGGGAGAGGAGAAUGGAAUUCCUAGUGUAGCGGUGAAAUGCGUAGAGAUUAGGAAGAACACCAGUGGCGAAGGCGAUUCUCUGGACCGUAACUGACGCUGAGGCAUGAAAGCGUGGGUAGCAAACAGGAUUAGAUACCCUGGUAGUCCACGCCGUAAACGAUGAGUACUAGGUGUAGGAGGUAUCGACCCCUUCUGUGCCGCAGUUAACACAAUAAGUACUCCGCCUGGGAAGUACGAUCGCAAGAUUAAAAACUCAAAGGAAUUGACGGGGGUCAUAGCUGUUUUCC
rnacentral:rRNA from 1 species